GCACCGCGACCCCUCCCGCAACCCGCCUGGCGGCCGGGGGCAGCGUGACCCGGCCCGCUACCGUGUCACAGCUGGCGACUGACAAACAGCAGGCGACGUCGGGAGAACUCCCCGAGACACCCGAGACAUCAGCCUUCUCGCUCCGCGGCCCUGCAGGACCUGCCCGCCGGGAGCCCCGGAGUCCGCGGCAGCGCCGAGGGCCCCUCCCCCAGGCCUCUGGGCUCUGAGGCUCAUCCAUGGAAUACCAAUUCUUUUUCUUAGUGUUCACAUUGGAUUUUUCUGUUAAAAAUAGAUUGUUGGAGUUGGCUAACAAGUUGAUUACUUCCAGUCAGGCACUCUCUUCUGUAAAGUCUCUUUUGUAAACUCCUACAAGCAGCUAUUUCACUGGAUUUGAAAAGACUGACUAAAAAGAACCAUGCACUGUAACUCUCAAGUAUACAGGAAUAUUGUUAUUAGGAUGGGACGUGCUGCUCUAUGGGACCUUCAGAAUCCAUGUAAGAGACCCCUAUGCUUAAGCCUCUCUGGAUGGGCUUCAGCUCCUCACAGCCAUCAGGGACCAUGCCUGGCCGGAUGCUGCCGCCUGGCUUCAGUGCCAUCUGCAUGUCCUCAGGGAUGACAAAGGACUCAUUGUACCAGAUGUCAAAUUCUACAAGGAGAGACGGGGUCUCACUGUAUUGCCCAGGCUGGUCUCGAACUCCUGUACUCAAGCAAUCCACCCGCCUCAGCCUCCCAAAGUGCUGAGAUUACAGGCGUGAGCCACUUCGCCUGGCCUAGGAGAUAUGAGUUUACUUGAUCUGUUCAAGUAAAUUCAAUAAAAUAAAGUCUUCAUCUGUCACCCAGACUGGAGUGCAGUGGCGCAAUCUUGCCUCACUACAACCUCUGCCUCCUGGGCUCAAGCGAUUUUCAUGCCUCAGCCUCCCAAGAUGCUAGGAUUACAAGUGUGUGCCACCACGCCCUGCUCCUCUGAGAAAUAAAUGAGUAAAAUGCACCCCCUGUGAGUGAGAUGAUGCAUCUGACUUGCAGGAAUAAACCAAGUGACAUCUGGAGAUCACUCAUGGAAGCUGGCCUGGAACAGGGUUGUGAUUUAGCGAGGGAAAGCCCAGUAACCUGUGGUGUUUCCUGUCUGGAAGAAGACAGUAAGACUGAGCCAGGAGUGUGAAGAACAGUGUGGCCUCUGAACCACCUGUCCCAGAGUUGGAAUGGUCACUCACUAAAAUGCAGGUCCUGGGCCCUGCUCCAUCUCUCCCAAGUCAGAACCACUGGCUGAGGGGCUGGGAAUCUGCACUUGACCAGCCCUCUCAGAUAAGUCAUCUGAACACGCAAGCUUGGUGGGCCUUGGCCCUCAGUGCAGGUGUGGGCGGCGCACGCCACCAGGACAAGGACACUGGGUCAGAGUAACCAGGUACUCUUCACAUGUUGAGGAUCACAUAUGGUUUUGUUUGAUCUGGUGCAGAAGCUAACAUUAGCUGAUUACCUAAUUGGGCGUAAUUCCUCCUUCGGGGAGUCUGAGGGAAGGGGCUCAAUGCUGGAAGUUUCCCGGUCCCGCGAAAGCAUGUCUUUGACAUCCCCAUCUUUGGAGGAUGGGACCAGCUGGGUCUUGGAGGUGGAAACGUAAUCCAAGUCCUUCCCAUUCACAGGGCUGCUGGCACCUUCCUUUCUUGCCAAGGAGCUGGAAGAAGGCACGGAAGCCCCAGGGUUCAGUCAUGGACAGUGAGUUAUCAGAUGCCAGGAUGAGUGACCUUUCUCAGCACUGACUACACUGGGAACCCCACCUCAUUCAGCUCCCAUCUUGUUCAUAUGCCUAGGUAAAAGCGCAAAUAGUGUGAUGCUAAGCCAGGCAGAUGUGGAGGAAGAAGAGGGCAUUUUUCUCCCUUUUAUCAGAACAAAGAGCCCUCGGUGGUCUUGGCAGGAGACGCUUGGGAAAAAUGGGUACAAUCUCCAGGGAUUGAAAGUGUAUGGACCUGUAGGAUGGGCCACAGGUUCUCAGGAACCACCACGGCUGCUGAGGUCUGAGUCAUACAGGCUUCCCCGGGAAGGACUGGCAGAGCCCCACACAGGGUGGUUCUGUCUGUGGAUCAAUGGUAAAGCAGGAUGGCUCUGCCCUGCUGUUCUUACUGGUCCACACCCUGUUCUCCACACCAGCUCCCAGAAAAGUAGCUGUCCUCCCUGCUGAAGUGACAGUGCUUGGUGCCUUUCUCCGAGAAGAGGCAGAUCUGAGGACCGAACUGGCAGGAGGAUGCCCAUGGCUCUUCCCAAAGGUCUGAGGAUAGAAAAUCUGUUUCUUCCUCUUUCCUCCUCCUUGCAACGAGUAUGGCUCAGGGAACUGAGCCUCAACCCAUUGAAUACUGCACUGAUUAUCCGGAAGCAGAACAGAGAGGGUUGGGGUGUGACUGCACUCAUGAAGAGGCAGGAGGAAGCCAGGGACACUGGCAUCCUCUGCUGCCUGACUCUUGUCCUGCGUGUAACAGUUUUCUACAAUCAGCUCUGGCCUGUGGCCUGUGCUCACACACUCUUGCUCACAACAACCUCAAUGACUUGGA
rnacentral:lncRNA from 1 species